GGUAGUCCACGCCGUAAACGAUGUCGACUUGGAGGUUGUGCCCUUGAGGCGUGGCUUCCGGAGCUAACGCGUUGAGUCGACCGCCUGGGGAGUACGGCCGCAAGGUUAAAACUCAAAUGAAUUGACGGGGGCCCGCACAAGCGGUGGAGCAUGUGGUUUAAUUCGAUGCAACGCGAAGAACCUUACCUACUCUUGACAUCCAGAGAACUUUCCAGAGAUGGAUUGGUGCCUUCGGGAACUCUGAGACAGGUGCUGCAUGGCUGUCGUCAGCUCGUGUUGUGAAAUGUUGGGUUAAGUCCCGCAACGAGCGCAACCCUUAUCCUUUGUUGCCAGCGGUUAGGCCGGGAACUCAAAGGAGACUGCCAGUGAUAACCUGGAGGAAGGUGGGGAUGACGUCAAGUCAUCAUGGCCCUUACGAGUAGGGCUACACACGUGCUACAAUGGCGCAUACAAAGAGAAGCGACCUCGCGAGAGCAAGCGGACCUCAUAAAGUGCGUCGUAGUCCGGAUUGGAGUCUGCAACUCGACUCCAUGAAGUCGGAAUCGCUAGUAAUCGUAGAUCAGAAUGCUACGGUGAAUACGUUCCCGGGCCUUGUACACACCGCCCGUCACACCAUGGGAGUGGGUUGCAAAAGAAGUAGGUAGCUUAACCUUCGGGAGGGCGCUUACCACUUUGUGAUUCAUGACUGGGGUGAAGUCGUAACAAGGUAACCGUAGGGGAACCUGC
rnacentral:rRNA from 1 species